UCCGUUUGAUCCUGACGGAGCCGACUGCUAUCGGAUUAGGACUAAGUCAUGCAAGUCAAAGCAACUCGUUUGCUUGGCAAACUGCUUCUUAACACGUAGACAACCUACCUUAAGGUACGGCAUAUUCCCGGGAAACUGGGCGUAAUUCCGUAUAGAUAAUUAGUCCUGGAAUGGCUUCUUAUUAAAAGUUUUAUACGCCAUAGGAUGGGUCUGCGGCCGAUUAUGCUUGAUGGUGGUGUAAUGGACCACCAUGGCUAAGAUCGGUAGGGGCCAUGAGAGUGGUAGCCCCGAGAUGGCCACUGAGACAACGGGCCAGGCUCUAUGGAGUGCAGCAGGCGCGAAAACUGGACAAUUCACGAAAGUGAGAUCCGGCCAAUCCGAGUGAUCCCCCAUCGGGGAUCUUUUCUUAAGUAUGAAAAGCUUGAGGAAUAAUGAGAGGGCAAGUCUGGUGCCAGCCGCCGCGGUAAAACCAGCUCUUAGAGUGGUCGGCAUGAUUAUUUGGCUUAAAGGGAACGUAGCAGGGUAACAUAAGUCCUCAGUGAAAUCCUAGGUCCUAAGCUUAGGGCGUGCUGAGGAUACUGUGUACCUUGGGACCGGAAGAGGUGAACUGUACGUCUAGGGUAGGGGUGAAAUCCAAUAAUCCUAGACGGACGACCGGUGGCGAAGGCGGUUCACUAGGACGGGUCCGACUGUGAGGUUCGAAAGCCAGGGGCGCGAGCCGGAUUAGAUUCAGCCCAAAAGCAAAACUAACGCACGGGUGCAAAAGGGUAGAUAACCCAACUGCUAAAAACCCGGGUAGUCCUGUGCUGUAAACGAUGCCCGCUAAGUGUUAGGGGAACUUAGGGUUCUUCUAGUGCCGAAGCGAAAGCGUUAAGCGGGCCGCCUGGGGAGUACGGUCGCAAGACUGAAACUUAAAGGAAUUGGCGGGGGCCCACCACAAGGGGUGGAUCCUGCGGUUUAAUUGGACUCAACUCCGGGAAACUCACCUGGGCCGUGGCAUGUAUGAGAGCCCUGCUGAAGACACUGCUCGACGUGCCACCGGAGGUGCAUGGCCAUCGACAGUUCGUGCCGUGAGGUGUCCUGUUAAGUCAGGCAACGAACGAGAUCCCUACCCUUAAUUGCCAGCGAGAGCUUCACAGCUCGUCGGGGACAAUAAGGGGACUGCUCGCGAAAAAGUGAGAGGAAGGAAGGGCCAACGGUAGGUCAGUAUGCCCCUAUAUGCCCAGGGCUACACGCGGGAUACAAUGGCAAGUACAGAGGGUUCCUACACCGAAAGGUGACGGCAAUCUCCAAAACUUGUCUCAGUCGGAAUUGAGGGCUGCAACUCGCCCUCAUGAACUUGGAAUCCCUAGUAAGCGCGUGUCAUCAACGCGCGCUGAAUACGUCCCCGGGCCUUGCACACACCGCCCAUCGCAGCACGCGAGACGGGUUUGCCAGAGGUGACAGAAUCAUACUGUUAUCGAUGGUAAACUCGUUGAGCAGGCUGAAGUUGUAACAAGG
rnacentral:rRNA from 1 species